ensembl:lncRNA novel transcript, antisense to DYRK1A
AUGGGGCUUUUUAUUAUUAUUCGGGCGGGAAGCGAAAGGGUUUAAAAAAAAACCAACCAACAAAAUGGCGACGGACCGACCCGGUCGCUAUAGCAACUGUCAAUCAAAACGCAAAACCCCGGCUGACGUGCUGACGUCCUCCUCCCGCCCCCCAGCCCCGAGCCGGCGGGCGGGGCCUGUUGCUCAGGUUCCAGGAUUCUACCCUGAGCACAGGAAACAACUAGAGUCCAUCCCCCACCGCGCCUCCGCACUACUCCCCGGGUAUUAAAAAUUCUGAGCCAGUCACAGACCUUUAACAAGGUCAAGAGCACUAAAUGCCUUAUCUUUAUGAGGGCAACACAUUCCUAAAUUGACAUGAAAGACCUGGCUGUGUUUGGCCGGCACUGGUGUUUAUGGAGACACAACUGCCAUUCAAGCAUGCGAGGAAUGAUACGUCAUACCAAGACCGUCCUACAAGGAUCCCUAAGCAGUGCAUGGAUGGUGGAGAAGGGAGUUGCCCCAGGGUGAAGGCUUCCCUGGGCUCUGACAGGGGUUACUGGAUGACUCUGCAAAUAUUAAAUAUAGCUGCAUGAAUCACACUACAAAAUUCCAGGCCUGAAAUCUGGUGUCAGGCAUAACAAUUUGUUCUCCCUCCCUUGCUCAUGAAUAGCAAAGAAUCAAUUGAAGAAAUUUUGGUCUGUUUAGAGAGCACUCGUGUUUUGUUCCUCCCUCUGGAACACACGUUCUGCAUUUGACAUGACACAUGCUUCUCAAGUGUUAUUUUGUGUUUAUUAAUCUUUGAACUGAAUUGCCAGUCCUUCAACUAGAAAGACAUUUUCCCAGAACCCUCCUGACUCAUGCUAAGGGUACACAACAGCUGAUAAACUCCAGUGACCUCAGAGGAGACAGAUGGGCCAUGUGGCUUCUAACACCCACGUGGCUGUCUGGACCAUGGAUGACAGCAUAGCCCAGGUUAAGCUGGUUGGCAGAAAUGCUCAGGACUUUUCCACAUUUACCAAGCUGAAAAUAGUGGUUAUGUCACCUGCUCUUCCAUUCUGUCACAUCACUUUCCGUAUUAUCACCUUCUUUACCACUAUCCCUCCUUCCUUGCGUGCGUCCGUGCAUAGUUUUCCUUAUAAUUACAAAAUAAUAUGUGCUCAUUGUAAUAGUAACAAGAGCUAACAUUUAUUGAUUGCUUAUAUGGUGAACUCUGCUAAAAGCUUAAAAGUAUGAAUUCGUUCAUCUUCAGCAAUUCUGUGGGAUAGGUAUUUUGAUCUCCAUGUUGCAAAUAAGAAAAGCUUGACCAUGAAGGGCUCAGAAAGUUUAUCACCCAACCAUCCUUUCUGAAAAUAUUUCCUUCGGGGGGGAAAAAGUAAUUCAAGAAAGAUAAUUAAAUUCAAAACAUGAAAAAGUGGUAACAAAUAUAAAUAAACUGAUAAAAUUUAUACUGAGAUCUUAAGAUUAAGACAUUUAAGAAACUAUUUUAAAGAGAAAGAGAAAUGUAGAAAGAAUUUUAUUGCUCAAUUGGAACUGAAAUUUUAGAUUAUUCCUACAAAGCAUGAGAUGUUUAAGAUCUUAUCUUAUUCCAGAGGGAAAAAUUAUGGAUACUGAUUCAUUCUAAAUGUUUAUGGAGAAAGAUGUUUAAAAGGUCUUAUUAAAUUAAAGGCCAUCUCCUCUAAACUGCCAAGGUCAUCGAAACAAAGAAACUGUCAUAGCCAACAAGAACCUAAGGGAGACAGGAGGCUGAUGUCGUGUGGUAUGUUGACACAGAUUGUAAAAUUUUGACAAAAACCUGGGAAAUGUGCAUAAACUACAGAUUUUAGCUAAUAAAAUGUGUCACUAUUGGUUCAUUAAUUUUGGCAAGCAUACCAUAUCCAUGGAAGCUAUGAAUACUAAAGGAAACUGGGUGUACUAGGUGUAGAGUAAACAGAAACUCUCUGUACUGCCUACAGCACUUUCCUUUUUCUUUUUAGAAUCUAAGUCCUAAAAACAUUACUCUAAAGUAAAAAUAUUUAUUCUAAAUAAUUCUAAGUUAAUUCUAAUUUAAAAUUAAUUUAUUCUAAAAUAUAAAGUUUAUUUUUAAAAAUAGGAGCAACCUCAUAGGGCUGUCGUAAGGAUUAAAUGAGAUCAUCAAUAUAAAAAGGUCUGCAUAGGGGCUGGAACAUAGCAGGUGUUCAAGGAACAUGAGCCUUUACCUGAAAAUAGACAAAUAGGAAGAAAGCCCAGCUCCGUGGGGUGCACCUGUAGUCUCAGCUACUCUGGAGGCUGACGGAGUAGGAUC